rnacentral:rRNA from 1 species
UGGGGAAUAUUGGACAAUGGGCGAAAGCCUGAUCCAGCCAUGCCGCGUGUGUGAAGAAGGCCUUUUGGUUGUAAAGCACUUUAAGCGAGGAGGAGGCUACUUAGAUUAAUACUCUAGGAUAGUGGACGUUACUCGCAGAAUAAGCACCGGCUAACUCUGUGCCAGCAGCCGCGGUAAUACAGAGGGUGCGAGCGUUAAUCGGAUUUACUGGGCGUAAAGCGUGCGUAGGCGGCUUUUUAAGUCGGAUGUGAAAUCCCUGAGCUUAACUUAGGAAUUGCAUUCGAUACUGGGAAGCUAGAGUAUGGGAGAGGAUGGUAGAAUUCCAGGUGUAGCGGUGAAAUGCGUAGAGAUCUGGAGGAAUACUGAUGGCGAAGGCAGCCAUCUGGCCUAAUACUGACGCUGAGGUACGAAAGCAUGGGGAGCAAACAGG